rnacentral:rRNA from 1 species
UACGUAGGGUGCAAGCGUUGUCCGGAAUUAUUGGGCGUAAAGAGCUUGUAGGCGGUUUGUCGCGUCUGCUGUGAAAUUUCGGGGCCCAACCCCGAACUUGCAGUGGGUACGGGGCAGACUAGAGUGUGGUAGGGGAGACUGGAAUUCCUGGUGUAGCGGUGAAAUGCGCAGAUAUCAGGAGGAACACCGGUGCGGAAGGCGGCC